GACGUAGGGCGCGAGCGUUGUCCGGAUUUAUUGGGCGUAAAGAGCUCGUAGGCGGCUUGUUGCGUCGACUGUGAAAACCCGCGGCUUAACCGCGGGCUUGCAGUUGAUACGGGCAGGCUAGAGUUCGGUAGGGGAGACUGGAAUUCCUGGUGUAGCGGUGAAAUGCGCAGAUAUCUGGAGGAACACCGGUGGCGAAGGCGGCAUCCUGGACCGACACUGACGCUGAGGAGCGAAAGCCAGGGGAGCAAACGGG
rnacentral:rRNA from 1 species